UGUUAAAAUGAGGUAAAUGCUGAGUUGUAACCAACCUAGCUGUGUCUGCACCUCAUGUCCAUUUUCUGUAGGUCACUUUCCUUUUUUCGUCCAUAAAUCAUAAGUCUUCUUCAGCCAUGUGCCUAUGCUGAAGUCUCUGAGCCUACUCUGGGUUGGGAGACUGCCUAAUUCACGAAUUGUUCUUUCUCAAUUAAAUUCUUUUAAAUUUAACUUGGCUAAAUUUUUUUUAAACAAGAAUGAAAGUAAAAAAGGUCAAUAACAUAUUAGUAUUACUAUUUUUUAGAUGCUGACCUCACGGACUCCCUGAAAGGAUCUCUAUGCCCUCUAUGGUUCCUUAGACUACACUUUGAGAACUAUUGAUAUAAAGGAAAAAAUGCUCUUAGUGUUCCACUUUAGCACAGAAUAAAAUCUGGACUGUGUCUGUUUGUGAGGAUUUUAUGCCUACUUGGUCAUCAGCCAACAAGGGAUUCCAAAGAUAGAAGAGGAAGCACCAACACCAUGAACAUCAUGGUCAGGUUAUUUUGUGAGAAGAAUAAGGCUAAAGUAAAAACCUUGGAUUUGUCUUUGUCCUUGUACAUGCUAUCUGGAAAGAGUUUUCUUAAAAGUAUUGUUGUGAACCCAUCCAUUUCCCCAGUAUAAUUGAAUGCAGGGUUUAAUGAAUAAAAUGAAUCUAGUUUUAGUUCCUGUACUGCUGUGGUUUCAAUAACCUCUAUAUUUGAAUAACACAUUUCAGUAGAUAUGUUUGUUAGUGUUGACUUUGUAAGUUGACAAAGAAAGGGUAGCAUUAUCAACCAUGAGAGGAUAAAGAGAAUUCUAUGUGUUUUACGGACAUAUGUUUAUCAUUUUGAAUUUAUAUAUAGUCAAGG